rnacentral:rRNA from 1 species
CAAGAUAAGCCAUGCAUGUCUAAGUAUAAGCAAUUAUACCGUGAAACUGCGAAUGGCUCAUUAAAUCAGUUAUCGUUUAUUUGAUAAUACCUUACUACUUGGAUAACCGUGGUAAUUCUAGAGCUAAUACAUGCUGAAAAUCCCGACUUCGGAAGGGAUGUGUUUAUUAGAUAAAAAACCAAUGCCCUUCGGGGCUUUUUGGUGAUUCAUGAUAACUUUACGGAUCGCAUAGCCUUGCGCUGGCGACGGUUCAUUCAAAUUUCUGCCCUAUCAACUUUCGAUGGUAAGGUAUUGGCUUACCAUGGUUUCAACGGGUAACGGGGAAUUAGGGUUCGAUUCCGGAGAGGGAGCCUGAGAAACGGCUACCACAUCCAAGGAAGGCAGCAGGCGCGCAAAUUACCCAAUCCCGACACGGGGAGGUAGUGACAAUAAAUACUGAUACAGGGCUCUUUUGGGUCUUGUAAUUGGAAUGAGUACAAUUUAAACCUCUUAACGAGGAACAAUUGGAGGGCAAGUCUGGUGCCAGCAGCCGCGGUAAUUCCAGCUCCAAUAGCGUAUAUUAAAGUUGUUGCAGUUAAAAAGCUCGUAGUUGAAACUUGGGCCUGGCUGGCGGGUCCGCCUCACCGCGUGCACUCGUCCGGCCGGGCCUUCCUUCUGAAGAACCUCAUGCCCUUCACUGGGCGUGCUGGGGAAUCAGGACUUUUACUUUGAAAAAAUUAGAGUGUUCAAAGCAGGCCUUUGCUCGAAUACGUUAGCAUGGAAUAAUAAAAUAGGGCGUGCGUUUCUAUUUUGUUGGUUUCUAGAGACGCCGCAAUGAUUAACAGGAACAGUCGGGGGCAUCAGUAUUCAGUUGUCAGAGGUGAAAUUCUUGGAUUUACUGAAGACUAACUACUGCGAAAGCAUUUGCCAAGGAUGUUUUCAUUAAUCAGUGAACGAAAGUUAGGGGAUCGAAGACGAUCAGAUACCGUCGUAGUCUUAACCGUAAACUAUGCCGACUAGGGAUCGGGCGAUGUUCUUUUUCUGACUCGCUCGGCACCUUACGAGAAAUCAAAGUUUUUGGGUUCUGGGGGGAUUAUGGUCGCAGGUGAAUAG